rnacentral:lncRNA from 1 species
UGUAAAAGUCCAAUAGCAAGAAAACAAAUGUCAGUCAAGCUUAGAUAAACAAGAGUAAAUUUUUUUUUCUGUUUAUACUUAGUCCUGUCAUUUCAUACAAUAGCUGCAAACGAACUAGAUUCUAGUCAUUUCAUGAUUAAUUCAUUAUUUCAAUAGUUUUUUUUUUUUUGGUGAUUUGGGGGAUUUACUAAAUUGAUCUAUGAUUGAACCUUUAUCUACUAAAGAAUCAUUUCCAUCAACCUCUAUGCUAUAGGAAUGAUAUCUAUGUUCACUGGGGAGGGUUGAUUACAUAUGUGAUGGGAACAUCCAAUGCUUAUUUGGAAUUAGUCCAUGUUGAAUUUCUUCUACUGUGGUAUAUAAUUCCCACUGGGCCUGAGCUCGCGUCAAUUCUUGAAGUUGAGUUACUGGUCACGCUAUAGCACCUUCUCAAUACAUCUUCAAACCUGAACUCCUCUUGCCAGAAGUUUAGAGCUCUUUUUGGUCUAACUGUUUUCUCUUAAACCUUUCAGAACUUCCUGAAAACAAUGGAAAACUUGGUUGACCUCUCUACACAACCCUGUGGUGCACAGGCCUGUGAGUCAUCUCAGAUCCUUUCUUCCCAUACACUCUGGUAGCCAUUGCUACUCUAUUGCUUUUGUGCCACACUGAAUGUCUCUACUAGGAUUAUAGCUUCCAAGCAGGUGACACUGGUAAGUGGUUGGAUUCUGACCUAUUUCAAGAAUCUUCCUGUUACCUGAUAGAGCACUCCAACAAAAUUCUAAUCGAUGCAAAAACAGAUACACAGUGUUUGUUAAGGUUCUUUUGAGCUCUGAUAUUUUCUGUUUUUUCACAUCUUUUCCCUCAUCUAUCUUUUUGUAAUUCCAAUGCUGUGUGAUAUAACUUUGUUCAUUUAAUUCAUUGUCAACUAAGUGUGAUUAAGUCUUAAUUGUUACAACUUUUCAACCUAGAGUAUUUGAACCAUAAAAC